UACGUAGGGUGCGAGCGUUAAUCGGAAUUACUGGGCGUAAAGCGUGCGCAGGCGGUUUUGUAAGCCAGAUGUGAAAGCCCCGGGCUUAACCUGGGAAUGGCAUUUGGGACUGCAAGGCUUGAGUGCGGCAGAGGAGACUGGAAUUCCUGGUGUAGCAGUGAAAUGCGUAGAUAUCAGGAAGAACACCAAUGGCGAAGGCAGCUCUCUGGGACGGUACUGACGCUGAGACGCGAAAGCGUGGGGAGCGAACAGG
rnacentral:rRNA from 1 species